GCAUAAUCAAUAGUCUUUUAAUUGAUGACUGGAAUGAAGGGUUACUACUAAGAAGAAAGUUUUGUCUAAUUGAUUUGAAUUUAAAUUAAAAGUAAAAAUGCUUUUAUUAAACUUUGGGACGAGAAGACCCUAGAAGCUUAAAAUACUACGGGAAUUUUUGGUUGGGGCAACAUUUGAAGAUAUAAAUUUUUAUUGAAUGUGAAUAUAAAAUAUAAAGUUACUCUAGGGAUAACAGCAUUAUUUAAUUAACAAGUUCUUAUUAAUAAUUGAAGUUUGUGACC
rnacentral:rRNA from 1 species